UGACCUCGGAUCAGGUAGGGAUACCCGCUGAACUUAAGCAUAUCAAUAAGCGGAGGAAAAGAAACCAACAGGGAUUGCCCCAGUAACGGCGAGUGAAGCGGCAAGAGCUCAAAUUUGAAAGCUGGCCCCCUCGGGGUCCGCAUUGUAAUUUGCAGAGGAUGCUUCGGAGGCAGCCCCCGUCUAAGUACCCUGGAACGGGUCGUCAUAGAGGGUGAGAAUCCCGUACGGGACGGGGUGUCUGCCACCGUGUGAAGCUCCUUCGACGAGUCGAGUUGUUUGGGAAUGCAGCUCUAAAUGGGUGGUAAAUUUCAUCUAAAGCUAAAUAUUGGCCGGAGACCGAUAGCGCACAAGUAGAGUGAUCGAAAGAUGAAAAGCACUUUGAAAAGAGAGUUAAAAAGCACGUGAAAUUGUUGAAAGGGAAGCGCUUGCGACCAGACUCGCCCACGGGGUUCAGCCGGCAUUCGUGCCGGUGUACUUCCCCGCGGGCGGGCCAGCGUCGGUUUGGGCGGCCGGUCAAAGGCCCUCGGAAUGUAACGCCCCCCGGGGCGUCUUAUAGCCGAGGGUGCCAUGCGGCCUGCCCGGACCGAGGAACGCGCUUCGGCUCG
rnacentral:rRNA from 1 species